AGUGUUCUUUAAUAAGCAACAAGGAAACGAUGUACCAACUUUUUCUAGUUUUCAGUAAUUAUCUCAAUACUUACCUUGUAAAAGUUCUUCGAGGCACAAUUCCCUACCGGAAUUCCCUUUUGACUGCUCUUCCAAUAAAUAAACUUUCAUUUCAAGACUUUUAUUAUAUUUGCUCGUUGUUGAACACUGCAGAUUAUAUCAUUGAGAUGCUCCAGCAGCUGGAAAUAAAGUUUAAAGAAAAAAUUGAUAAAGUUUAUGUUGAAAAAAUUAACUUAACAAAAACUUCCGAAGUCG